rnacentral:rRNA from 1 species
AUGUGGGCAGCCAAGGCCUUGAAAUUUGGUUAUAGAUGGGUAGUUGGUAAUGGACAAAAGAUCAGGUUUUGGGAGGACAUUAGGUUUGGUACCUCACCACUGUCUGUCCAGUUUUGGCCCCUUUAUGUCAUUUGCCACCAGCAUGGUGAGACUCUUGAUAAGAUCUGGGACCAAAACAAUAUUAAAGUAACCUUUAGACGGAUUUUUACACCUACUAUUGAAAGUGCUAGUUAUCGACUAGAGGGGGGUGAAUAG